AGGGCUUAGCAGGUCAGGUGCCUCCCACUUGUAGGGCUUACUCAAGAAAACCCUGUUAUCAUUCUGUCCUUACAGAGAGAUCAGCCUGUUAGUUCUCACAAAGGAGCCUGUUCCCAAGACACUCAGCAGGACUCUGUGAAGUUGCGACCAAACUUGCAGCCACAUCUGCUGUCACCUGAAGAUCUGGUGGGAAAAUGGAGUCACCAAACUGCAGCUGAAGGGGAAGAAGGGGAGCACAGGUCCAGAGAACUGGUGUUCCAAAGCAAGCUGGAAGUUGAACUCCAACACAUCCAACAGCAGAUGCAGUACUACUUCAGCAGGAAGCAGGAACUCAGGUCCUGUCAACAGCAGGCACAGAUUCUACAGAAGUGGCUAGAAAUGAGCACACAACCAGGGGACCAAGACGGUGUACAAGCAGUUCAGGAAGAACUGGAUCAGUUGCAGGUGAGGAUCAACACUCUUACCAAAGCACAGCUAAAAGAGAGACAUCAUGUGCAGAAGCUGGUUGCCCGCCUGCGUGAUAUCCAGAUUGCUCUGGAUAUGUAAUACAUCUGUGCCAGUAUUCCAGCACCUGGGUAGGACUUUUUGCUCCUUUCACAGCAGGGAAGGAUGGAAGAGAUGUAUACAAUUCCUUACUCUAUGUAUGUGGCACUUUUAUAAAUUAAAAUAUUUUUGCCUUUUUGUUAUUAGAGCUGGUUAAAAAAAAAACAGGAGCUAAACACACCUCAUGCUGCACUCAAAAUACCUAGUUUAGGUUACUC
rnacentral:lncRNA from 1 species